UCGUAACAAGGUUUCCGUAGGUGAACCUGCGGAAGGAUCAUUAAAAUACUUUUCAAAACUUUGUUUUGAAUUAAAAGCAACCACCGUUAAGUUCAAAAAUCUAAAACAAAACUUUCAACAACGGAUCUCUUGGUUCUCGCAUCGAUGAAGAACGCAGCGAAUUGCGAUACGUAGUAUGACUUGCAGACGUGAAUCAUCGAAUCUUUGAACGCAUAUUGCGCCUUGGGGCAUUCCCCAAGGCAUGCCUGUUUGAGCGUGAUAUCUUCUCACCGUUGGUGGAUUUGUUUCUAAAUAUCAUGCCACAGUGAAGUCUACGCUUUCACUGCUUUUUCCCCUCAAAUCAGGUAGGACUACCCGCUGAACUUAAGCAUAUCA
rnacentral:misc_RNA from 1 species